AAUGAAAAAAGAAUUCCUUUUUCACAGAAUAAUUCGAGGUUGAAAAAUUGCAUCUACGUAUUUAUUAUGUAUGUGCGAUUGUACGUAGACUAAACCCCAAAAGCACUUACGAGUUGCACUUCUGUUUAAAAGCAAUUGGCAGUGGCAACUACGUUUUACGAAAGGUUUUAGAGUCCUGCAGAGUUUAAAAAAUAAAGGAGUCCGAAUAUUGGGCGUGAGGCCGAAACUCGCAAGAUACUGUAUCAAGAUUCAGUUUCUAUGUAAAGGGCAGAGAGAGAAAGCAGAGGAAAUGGCGAGCGAAGAGGAGAGCGCGGUGAAGGAGCCGUUGGACCUCAUUCGUCUCAGUCUCGACGGGCGUAUCUAUGUCAAACUCCGCCACGACCGAGAGCUCCGCGGCAAGCUUCAUGCCCUUCUUGCAAUGCCCUUCCACUACCUCAUUCGGUGUUUCUAAUAACUAUCAUUCUCCUUGUUGUAUCGUGCACAUUGAUUGAGACUCAAUUCUUCAUUGAGCGAGACCAUCUUGGGAAAGCAAAGAAGAUCUUACAAUCGUUAAGAGGAUCGAACACAAAGGUCGAGUUCACAAAAUCAGACAUAGAGAUCGUGUUCACAGAGUUAGUGGCGUACACAAAGAAAAAACAACCAAUAGAGGCUCUGCGAGAAAUUAUAAGACCUCGCAACCGUCCUGUUUUGGUGAUCAACAGCAUUGAGUCGAUAUUUGGAAAACUUUCUGGUGAGGUUUUUUCUCCAGUCUAUUGGCUAUGAGUGACAUGAGUCGUUUCUUGCUACUUUGAUUGUUGCGUUUGUGGACCUAAUAACUAAAUUGGUUAGCCCAUUUCUUAUUGGACGUUUUAGGAAGAGGAAAGUAUUUUUUAUGGCAUAUUUAAGCGCAAUUAUUCCACUAGUAUGUCUACUAAUUAGUCUAACAUAUAAAUAAUUAUUAGAAUCGUUUUGAAUUUUUUAAUUAUUUAUGUUUACUAUAUAUUUAUCUUUAUGUGCAAUUAUAGGUUUGCGUUGGGAUUCGGUUUCAUUUGAAUCCAGACGCGCAUCAUCAUUUCAAACCUCGCAGAGCUACCAUGACCAUUGUUUUUGUGUUAUUACACAUAAAUGGAAGUGGUGUUAUAUUUGGACCAAACGGUUGACUUAAUUCAACAUUUCCACCAGAGUGCGACGAUCUUGCAUUAUCGUACAAUUUCUGUUUAGAAAAACUAACAACUUUUAUUAUAAAUCAAAUGUUUUUUCACCUCCUAUGCACAUUAAUGGAAUGGACUUUCUUUCUUUACUUUGCACUAUGCCUUACUAUGAUGCUCUUCAACUUAGCGUUCGUUAUAGAAACGUCUGGCAUAGAAUAACAUGCAUUGGCUCAAAGGAUAUGGAGCCAUCAUUGGUUUUAAAAGCGGUAUAUGUCCAAUUUCGACGAUAUAAGAUAAAUGAUAUGUUCAUCUGAAUUGGAAUUGGACAUAUACCGCUUCCAAAACCAAUGAUGGCUCCAUACCCUUUAACCCAAUUCAUGUUGUUCUCUGUCAGACGUUUCUGGAACAAACGCUAGGUUGAAGAACAUCAUGGUAAUGCAUAGUGUGGCAUAAAGAAAGAAAGUCCAUUGUCUUAAUGUGGAAAGGAGGUGAAAGAAUAUCUGAUUUAUAAUAAAAGUUGUUAACAUUUCUAAACAGAGAUUGUACGCCGAUGCAAGGUCGUCACACUCUGGUGGAAAUGUUGAACUAAGCCAUCCGUCUGGUCCAGAUAUAACACCACUUCCAACUAUGUGUAAUAACACAAAAACAAUGGUCAUGUUAGCUCUGUGAGGUUUGAAAUGAUGAUGUGCGUUUGGAUUCAAAUGAAAGAGAAUGCCAACGCAAACCUGCAGUUGCACAUAAAGGAUAAAUAGAUGAUAAACAUAAAUAAUUAAAAAACUCAAAACGAUUAUAAUAAUUGUUUAUAUGAUAGACUAAUUAGUAGACAUACCAGUGGGAUAAUUGCGGUUAAAUAUGCUAUCAAAAAUACUUUCCUCCUCCCAAAACGUGCAAUAAGAAGUGGGCUAAUCGCUUUAGCUAUUAGGUCCACAAAUGCAACAACCAAAGCAGCAAAAAAUGAUUCGUGUCGCGUAUAGCCAAUAGACUGAAGGAGAAAAGGACCAUAAAAAGUCAACAAGUCUCCACUAGAAAAUUCUUCAAAUACGGACUCAAUGCUGCUGAUCACCAAAACGGGACAGUUGCGAGGUCUUAUAAUUUCUCGCAGAGCCUCUAUUGGUUGUUUUUUCUUUGUGAAUGCCACUAAUUCUGUGAACUCGACCUUUAUGUCGGAUUCUGUGAACUCGACAUUUGUGGUCGAUCCUCUUAGCGAUCGUAAGAUCUUCUUAGCUUUCUCAAGAUUGCCUCACUCAAUGAAGAAUCGAGGAGUCUCAAUCAGAGUGCACGAUACAACAAGGAGAAUGAUAGUAGGAAUUCCUCCUGCUCCCAGUGACAUCCUCCAUCCCCAAACGUGGAAGUAAGAUGCUAUAUAAUUUAUUGCUGCUGCUAAAAUGGUACCCAACGUCUGUGGCCAUCCAAAAACCAUUGAUAUGGUAUAAUAUGAGUCUUUUGGAGCAGUUUCUGAGUGUAUAGUAGGAAUCACCUGCAAAAAGUCAUAAUUUAUAUGUUACAUUAUUGCAA